GUGAUCCUACGGGAGGCAGCAGUGGGGAAUAUUGGACAAUGGGUGGAAGCCUGAUCCAGCCAUCCCGCGUGUAGGACGACUGCCUUAUGGGUUGUAAACUACUUUUAUCUGGGGAUAAACCUACUCACGUGUGAGUAGCUGAAGGUACCAGAAGAAUAAGCACCGGCUAACUCCGUG
rnacentral:rRNA from 1 species